UUUUUUUUUUUUUUUAGAUUUCCAAUUUUAAAAAAAUUAACAAACAAAUAAAAUUUUUCUAAAAGGUUUUAGCUUCCAAAACAUCUAUGAUAGCGGAACAUUCGCUUUUUAAAGGUUUCCAUGCUUCACAGAUUCAAACAAGGGGAUCAGAAUGAAAAGAAACAGAAGCUCGUGAGAAAUUUCUUUGAUGACAUAUUUAAAAGGCCAAAUAGAAGAGAUUAUUACCAAAUUUUUCUCCCUUUUAGAAAUUUAGAGCUUCUUUAGUGGUAGAAAUAGUUUCCUGUUUAGCAUUUACAAUUUCCUUUUCCAUACCUAGUUGAAAAGUUCUCAUUAAGAGAAGUAGUAAAUGCAUUAAACAAUGUUCUUUUUUUAUUAUUAUUAUUGUUCAAUUUAUGUUGUCUUUAUUAUGAAAUAACAAAAUAAAGGCAAAAUGUCAUAUAGGAGUAACCUUCCUUGUUUUGGACACAUAAAGAGUAUUAAAUGAGCUUCACAACCUGGUAGUGCUCCAUCUUUCCACAACUCAUUCCGCCAUCAUUCCAGUGAGAUUCAAACCACAGACCUACUAGAGGAAAUUGCUGGAGUUGGGAACCCCGAACACAGGUGCAAUAAUUACAAGUAUAAAUGUUAACAAAAAUGGGUGAUAUGGUGUCAACAGCAGUGGUGGUUCUCAUGGCCAAGGUAUGAUGACAGUUAUCAUAGUACACACAUGAUUAUGUCAACCCCUACCAUCUAAUACAUUUCAUCACACAAUCAAUAUGCUUAAUAAGUUGCAAAUUGUUGGUUACAAAACUGCUCAUCAUUGUGUCUUUAGUAGUUUAAAGGGCCUAUACAUAUUUUUUACCCAACUAGAGAGCCGACACAGACUACCUAAACAGCAACAGCAGCCAGCACAACUUAAUGUCAUUUCCUUCCAAAUUCCUCCUCACAUAACAUUUUCCUAAAAUUGUAUACUUCUUAUCUGUAAUUUGUGAGCAACAACAACAAAAAUUUUCCCCUUUAUUAUCUUCUUACACAUCUACAAUCUUGUACUUUUAAAAAGCAAUGCUGCACAUGCACAAAACCAAUUUUUUAUAAUAAGUCCAAAAGCAUUGUUAUCAAAGUCUUUCAUAUCACUCCUCAAAACUAAUUCAUGAUAUGAUGACCCUAAAAAGAGAUGGAAAACAAGCUUAGAAAUAAAUCCAUUUCACAAUCCCAUAGAUUGGAAAUUUGGUUUUAUAUUAUAAAAAGGCAUUAGUAUUGGCAUUCCAGGAUUAAUUAACAACAAUUCAGCUGCAAGAAAUAUGAUAAAAGUCGGUCAGAAAGAAGUUCUCUCUCAUGAAAUUCAUUAAAGGCCUUCAUAAAAUACAACAGCAAUCAACAAUGGACCUUCUAACUCUCCAAAUAAUAAACAGAGAGGGGAAAAAAAAAAAGAAUUCCAACUGCCCAAGGGAGAAUAGAUUUAGGCAUGAAAUCCCUUGAAAGUAAGCAAACUUCUUGUCUUAUGCAUGCUGAUAACUGGCUUCCCUACCACUUCUAUCAAUAUUUUGCAAUUUAAUUCUAAGUUUCACUGUUGGCACUGCUUUAAUUAUCUAAUUAUCAAACUCGAGAAAAUAAACGAAAUUAUUCUACAACAUCUCUAGCAGCAAACAUAUUUGGUUCUAUACACAUAUGAAUACAAGUAAAACAAUAACACACUUGCAUGUCCAUCAAAGGAUAUCCCACGACAGCAUAUUCAUGCUCAAACAAAUCAAUGCUUUGUAUCUACAAAAUACAACCAUUAACUCUACAAAUUAUGUUAGACGGGAGAAAAUGAAUGGGAAAACUGAGCAGUACCUGCAA
rnacentral:misc_RNA from 1 species